GUGAAUCAUCGAAUUUUUGAACGCAAAUUGCACUCUCUUCGGAGAGUAUGCCUGUUUGAGGGUCAGCCUAAAAAAAAUCGACAUAGUCGCUGUUUCUCGGUGACAUUCGUCGGGAAUUGGGUCAUCUUAAACCUUUUGGUUUUAAUCGGCUUACAAUUUUCUUUACGAUUCCACGAACGUUUCUAAGAUUUACUUACAAGUUUAAUUUAUCGAUCUUUAUGUGUCGUUGCCGUAGCAUCUGAUUGC
rnacentral:misc_RNA from 1 species